GGAACUCAUAGUGUAGGGGUGAAAUCCGUUGAUAUUAUGGGGAACACCAAAUGCGAAGGCACUGUACUGGCACAUUCCUGACGCUGAGACACGAAAGCGUGGGAAUCGAACGGGAUUAGAUACCCCGGUAGUCCACGCCCUAAACGAUCACAACUGGCUUUACGGAGUAUCGACCCUCUGUGAGGCGAAGCUAACGCGUUAAGUUGUGCGCCUGGGUAGUACGAUCGCAAGAUUAAAACUCAAAGGAAUAGACGGGGACUUGCACAAGCGGUGGAUCAUGCGGCUCAAUUCGAUGGUAAACGAAGAACCUCACCAAGGUUAGACAUCCAGACGACAAUCCUAGGAAACUAGGACUUUCGCAAGACGGCUGGACAGGUGAUGCAUGGUCGUCGUCAGUUCGUGGCUUGAGUUGUUCCCUUCAGUGGGGUAACGAACGCAACCCUCGUUGUCUGUUUUAUAUGUCAGGCGAGACUGCCCCCUCACGGGGGAGGAAGGUGAGGAUGACGCCAGAUCAGCAUGUCCCUCUGAUAUCUUGGGCUGCACGCAUGAUACAAUGCCGACGACAACGCGACGCGACGGGGUAACCCUGAGCAAAUCGUAAUAAACGUCGGCCCAGUUCGGAUUGAGGUCUGCAACUCGACCUCAUGAAGUUGGAAUCGCUAGUAAUCGCGGGUCAGCUAUACCGCGGUGAAUACGUUCUCAAGUCUUGUACUCACCGCCCGUCAACUCAAGGGAGCCGGGAGUACCCGAAGCCCGCCUCACGGCGGUCCACGGUAAGCUCGGUGACAGGGAGUAAGUCGUAACAAGGCACGGGUAGCGGAAGCUGCUCGUG
rnacentral:rRNA from 1 species